GCAAAAAUAAAAUAUUUUAAUAUGCAGUUAAUUAUGUGUAUGUUCGUUUAUUAAAUGUCUGAUUAUUAUUAAAACAGCUGAGACUUGUGAUGAAGAGAUGCAUUACGCUGAAACAACAUUCUGUACACAUCAGCUUCAGAGUAUGGCUGUCUUUGUAGAAGAUCACACAGUGUACUCACCUGUUGUGAUAUGAAUUUAAGAUCCGACUGAUCAAUGCCAUGAAUUCUGGCUAUUCACCCAAACUGAACUCUUGAUAUCAUUAAUGUUUUACUCUCAUUACAUUUCAUUUAGGAGUGUAAGAUACAAUGGUACAAUGGUCUCAUCUACAUGGAAGUAAACCAAAAGGUAAUAAAGGUUUUAAGAGUUUAGAGAUACUCUGUCUGCUAUCAUGGGUGUGCCCCUUUCCCAGGGUCCUUUAUCCAAACUACCUCCUGUUCCACAACAAGGUGCGAACUCCCUAGGUCUGUGACCCUAGUCAAUGCAAAUUCCUAUUGUAAGUUCAUGCCCCACAUUGGGGGAUGUUUUGUCUUGGUGUGAGUAUUUAAAGAAAUGUUGCAAAAGGCUCGGGGCAAUGAGCCCAGGACACUCAGCAAUGUGCAUUUUUCUAAUGUCAGGUAUACAUCUUGUACUCUUUUUCUGAGCAUUUGAUGUUUUGUAUUGAUCAUCUUUGAAUUGAUUAUGUAAUUGUCAUGAUACAUUUACCUGACUAAUAAAUUGUUACAUUUGAUUUUA